UUUGAAAUCUCCGACGCUUGCGUCGGCGAGUUGUAAUUGCGAGAAGCACUUUCUAGGCGGAUCGGUCGUGCCUAAGUUGCUUGGAACAGUACGUCAUAGAGGGUGACAACCCCGUCUGUGGCGCGGCCGGCCGCUCACGAUGUGCUUUCGAAGAGUCGGGUUGUUUGGGAAUGCAGCCCAAAAGUGGUGGUAAACUCCAUCUAAAGCUAAAUAUUGACGUGAGACCGAUAGCGAACAAGUACCGUGAGGGAAAGAUGAAAAGAACUUUGAAAAGAGAGUUAAAAAGUACGUGAAACCGUCUGAAGGGAAACGAAUGGACUCAGCAAUGCGCCCUUUGAGAUUCAGCCGGCCGGCUGUGGCGGCCCGGGGCUUGCGGAUCUGAAUGGACCGCGGUCUCGGGCCCGUCGCUCCUGGCCGUCGCACUUCUCUUGGACGCGAGUCAACGUCGGUUGGGACUGGGCCUCAAAGGUUCGGGGAAGGUAGGUCUUGGCGCUCGCGCCGGGACUUUUAUAGCCCCGUUCUCUCGCGGCUCGGACCCGACCGAGGCAGUUGCAGCGCAUGCCUCUUUUGGCUAGGGUCCCGUCCUUCCGGCCGGUCGUCGACUGCGGUGGACUGCUUGCAGUGCUCCGCGACUGCUGCCGGUCGUUGGGGUGGUGAUCUCGUACCAUG
rnacentral:rRNA from 1 species